rnacentral:rRNA from 1 species
UACGCGAAAAACCUUACCUGGGCUCGAACGACUGGUGGUAAGCUUUAUAAAAGUAGAGCUGACCCGCAAGGGAGCCAGCCGAGGUGCUGCAUGGUUGUCGUCAGCUCGUGUCGUGAGAUGUUGGGUUAAGUCCCGCAACGAGCGCAACCCCUAUCCUGUGUUGCCUAGCAAUAGGAUCUCUCAGGAGACCGCCGCGGAUAACGUGGAGGAAGGUGGGGAUGACGUCAAAUCAUCAUGGCCUUUAUGUCCAGGGCUACACACGUACUACAAUGGUACAGACAGAGGGCAGCAAUACCGUAAGGUGGAGCCAAUCCCUAAACUGUGCCCCAGUUCAGAUUGUGGGCUGCAAUUCGCCCACAUGAAGCCGGAAUCUCUAGUAAUCGCAGAUCAGCACGCUGCGGUGAAUACGUUCCCGGGUCUUGUACACACCGCCCGUCACACCACGAAAGUCAAUGGCAACAGAAGUAUCCAGGUCGUCUGGGUCCUAAGUUGUGAUUGGUGAUUGGGGUGAAGUCGUAACAAGGU